UGCGCAGGCGGAAGAAUAAGUCAGUGGUGAAAUACUGCCGCUCAACGGUAGGGCUGCCAUUGAUACUGUUUUUCUUGAGUAUGGUUGAGGUAGGCGGAAUGUGCGGUGUAGCGGUGAAAUGCAUAGAUAUCGCCCAGAACGCCGAUUGCGAAGGCAGCUUACUAAACCAUUACUGACGCUGAGGCACGAAGGCGUGGGUAGCGAACAGGAUUAGAUACCCUGGUAGUCC
rnacentral:rRNA from 1 species